AACAAUACGACAAUAAGACAAUUUAAUGUUUGUGUAUAAAUGAAGGAAUAAAAUGACUAUUCUCUUCUAUCACACACCUUAAAAUACAGAAACAAAUAAUUAAAUAGCUCUAAGUUAGCCGUGGAUUGGAAUAAUGGGUGUGUGUUUGAAAGGUAGAUAAGUGGGAGAGGCUUUUUAUCUAAAGCAACUAACAAAUGAAAAAAUAUUUCAUAUUUUGUCAGUAAACUAACAAGUGGAGUCUACAGGGUUAUGGCAACAAAAAAGUUUAUUGUUCCAGGUAGACCUAAAGUCUAUAAAUAUAGAUUGGGAACAUUUAAACAAUGGACAGAAGUAGGAGGAGCAGGAGGAUAUCAGUGUGGAAUACUACUAUUAGAAGGAGCAGGAGGAAGUAGAGGAGUAACGGGAG